rnacentral:lncRNA from 1 species
AUGGGAGGAGAUGGUAUAAUUAUGGAUAAAAUGAAAGUUGGUAGUAAUUUAUUAAACGAUAAAAAAAAAUAUGGUGGUAAUAAUGCGUUUGAUGAUUUUAAAAAAAAUGAUGGUUUAUCCAAAAAACGCUUUGAUCAAUCUAAUGAUGCAUCAAAUAUGUCAAAUCAUAAUAAUAAUAUGUCUAACGAAAAUAAUGAAACAAAUAAUGGAUAUAUAAUGCCAGGAUUUAAAGGAACACACAUGAUUGGUUUUACAUGUUUUUUAAAAAGAGGUCAACAAACACCACCUCCACCCCCACCUACUAUACCUGUAGAUGAUAUAAAUUACUUUCAAAAUAUAGAUAAUAAAGUUGGAAUGCAAAAGAAGCAUAUGAAAAUGAAUGCCCAAUUUAAUCAGCAAUUAGAUGCUCAAAGGAACAUGGUACCAAACAUGGUACAAAACAUGAUGCCUAAUAUGGUACCGAGCAUGGUACCUAAUAUGGUACCUAAUAUGGUACCUAAUAUGGUACCUAACAUGGUACCUAAUAUGACACAGAACAUGACACAGAACAUGACACAGAACAUGGUACCUAAUAUGGUUCCUAAUAUGGUUCCUAAUAUGGCACAAAAUAUGACGCAAAAUAUGGCGCAGAAUAUGGCUCAGAAUAUGAUACCUAAUAUGACACAGAAUAAUAUGCAGGGGAAAAUGCAGGGAAAAAUGCAAAAUAGGAUGCAUCAAAGUAUGAACAUGAACAUGAACAUGAACACAAAUAUGAACAUGAACACAAAUAUGAACAUGAACACAAAUAUAAACAUGAACACGAAUAUGAAUAUGAAUAUGAACAUGAACCCAGGUCAACAACUACCACAAAGAAACAACAUGAUAAACCAAGUGAAUACUGAAGAAAGCGUGUAUGAAAAGAAUGAACAAAAUAACAACAGAUUUAUAUCAAUGAUGCACCACCCUAUGCAAAAAAUAACAGAAGAUGGAAAUAACAGCUACAAAAUGAACAACUACACAAGAAAUUUGAAAGGAUUUGGUACUAAUAAUAGUGAAAAUGUAAUGUCAAACAAUAAAGUAAUAAACAAUCAAGGGAUGGGAGGAAUACAAAAUAUGCAAGGGAAUCAUGCAAACUACAUGAAAAGGAAUGAUAAAAAAGACGAUCGAAAUUAUAAAAAAAAAGAUCCAGGUAUAGAACUGAACUGGAGAAAUUUAAAUAAUAAAAAUGUUUUUGAAGAUAAAAUGAAUAACAACAUGAUAAACAAUACAUUUAAUAUGAACAACACAAAAACUAAUAAUAUAACUAAUAAUAAUAAUGCUAAUUAUAAUAAUAACAUUAAUUAUAAUAAUGUUACAACUACAACUACUAACAUUAAUAAUAAUAGUAGUGGAACUAAAUCUGUUAGGAAUUUUAAUAAUACAAAUAACAAUUUAAAUAAUGCGAAAAAUAAUUAUGUUAAUAAUAAAAUGAUGCAUAUGAACUAUCAGAAUGUAAGGCAGGUCUUAAAUAAUAACAACAGUAGCAAUAACAUUGGUAACAACAGUAAUAAUAAUAACGCUAAUAGCAAUGAUGAUAAUAAUAACAUUAACAACGACAACAAUAAUAAUAAUAAUGAAGACCAGAAUAAUAAAAUUUAUAAAUCUAAUAUGAAUAACAACAAAUAUGAUGAAAAUGCAAACAAAAUGUAUAAAAAUCAAAUGACUAUUUUUAAUAAUAUGGGGAUGAUGCAAGAAAACAAUUCAAACAGACCAGCGCAUUAUGCAAAUGAACAGAUGAACUUUAAUAAUAAUGAUAUGAAUAACAAUAAUAAUAAUCAAAUGCAUGAUUAUAAUAAAGCUUCAUAUGGUAAUAAUUUUAACAUGAACAACAAAAAUAUGAAUUCAUUAGACACGAGAAAAACACGAAUGAGAGACAUAAGAAGUGUAAAUGAACAAAAUGAAUAA